GCCUUGAUGCUUAAUUUUUAUGCUUAAUAUAAUUCAAUUUAAUGAAAAAGUUAAUUGCAUUAUGAAAAAACUAUUAAUUUAAAUUUGUUAGUUUUGCUUGCAUCUUCUAAAAGAAAUGUUUUAAAUGCAUCUUCUCAAAUUUCUCAUUAAAACAGACUGUUUAGUUCAACUGGGCUGACAUCUCGGAAGAUCUUACAGACUUUUGUAGACUUUCUGGUUUGAGAAGUGAAGUGGAAACACAGGCCAUAAUUAUGAUUCCUUCAACUGUCUGUUUCUGUGUACCUGCCAAAAUGUUUUGGGCGUUCCUUCAUCCGGACUGCAUCAAUGGGGUGAUAACAUUCCUAUCACCAUGAAAAAAAACAACUUCACCAUUUUAUACAGUACCAUAAUCAGAACAUUUAUGUUGAAACUCAUGCACUGAUCAAAUGUCUUUUGGAUUGUGUCAGUUUUUAUUUUAGAGGAAAUUACAGUUUUUAUUCAGUAUUCAGUGCAUCAGCCAAUCAAAUAAAUAAAUCAGACAAAUAGUGAUCAUUUAAGACACACACAUUCAGCAAAUACAGUGGAUGUCUAAAAUAUUCUUUAGUUAACUAACGAUUCUUAGUCUAAUGUUUUAAUGUGAGCCCACAGACUCGUUUAUCCACCCUUGGGUGCAGAUGAAUAGGUAUAUGUGUAACCUGAGGGCGGAUCUAAAGUAUAAAUACAAGCAAGAAAACGGCAUUUCCACACUGGAGAGCAAGACGAGACAAAAGGUAAGACAUUCCUCAUUUAUUAACUGCGACAGAUACUUGUCAAAUGCAUGAUUCAUGUGAGCACUUGAUGGCAACUAACAAAACAGAUUGAUUCAGUUACUGAAUUCGCUCACUGUCCAUUCAGAAAAUUCAUUCGCAAGGAUUUUAUCUUACGAAGCAUCAAAAUAAAUAUAACAUGAGCAUGCAUGCAAAGAGAUUCUUGCUUACAGGUCUUUUUCAUUGUUUAGUGUUACGGACGUGUUGAAUAUCUGAAAAUCUCAACAUGAGUGAUCCAAGUAAGUGAUAUUUCUGCUAUACUGACGUCUUUCUAUUUGUGGCAUCGGAAGACAAUUUAUUAAGUUUAAAAUGUUUACACUUUUUGUGAUAGCAUUUGAAUAAAUGUUACCAGAACAAUUAUUUAUGCAUAUAUUUGUUUUCCAAAUUUCUCCUGCAGAACAAAAGCAGGUAAGAUAUUUCUAAUUCUGCUUAAAUAUACAAAUGUGCAUUUUAAGUAUGCAUAUCAAUUAUACAAAUACAUUAAAGGCCGGUUUUAACAAAUAAUACACUGACCAUAUUGUAUUGCAGGAGGGUGCAGAUUCUGGUUCUGGCUCUGAGGUAUAACCCUCUGUACAUUUCUACACAUCAAUUACAAUUUUACACAAAUAGUUAUAGUUAGUAAUUCUCUGUUGUAUGGUAAUCAUAUUAUCCUAUUUUCUGUCUCACAGAGCUCAGGAGAGGAAGGUGGAAAGGUAAAAACCAUCUCUAAUGGUGAAAAUAAUAAUAAUAAUGCACUUAUUGCAUUACAUAUCCUGCAUUACAUAACCAUUACAUGAUAUACUGCAAGUCUGAUUUUACUUCUACUUAAAGAAGCACGGAAAGGGCAAAGGGAAAGGGAAAGGACAUGGACACGGUAAAGGAGGUGAACAUGGGAAAGGAGGUGAACAUGGGAAAGGAGGUGAACAUGGGAAAGGAGGUGAACAUGGGAAAAAAGGAGGUGACCAACAAAAAGGAAAAAAGUAAUGAGCUCAUAGCCUGAGGCCUGGGCAGUCCAUUUAUGUCCUCAUGAAUUACACAACAAAACUUGUUUCAACUCCAUUUUGCAUCCAAAAAAAUAAAUUAAAUUAAAACAC